UGCAACACAAUGAUUAUAAUAUGCCCAAUGGCAUUCUCAGAAUAUGGACAGAUUCAAUACAGACAAAUUUAAUACGCCAAGUAAAUCAUAACCUACACACACAACCCAUCCUUAUGCCAGCCUCAAACCCAGAAUUCAGAAUCAGAAUCAUGUUGAUCGAUCAUAUUCAUAUACAUACACACCCCUUUAACUCCACAUAUCAUUUUUAUUUAGCCAAAUAUGUUUUCUCGUGAUCUGCUAGUCCAAUUUGCAAUAUAGCUACCCUACUG
rnacentral:lncRNA from 1 species